rnacentral:lncRNA from 1 species
GUAUUGCGUGUGAACACACUUCAACUUACAUCUCGAUAAACUUCUUUAAAGAAUGGGUAGUGAGCUCGUAGAAGUAUAAGCACCAUAAACAGUAGAUAAUAGUGUAACACGUGACGAGUGUGCUAACACUUCAACCAACACCAUAAAGCAGAAAAGGUGUCCGCAAGUUGGUUGUAUCUAUCUACAUAGUUUGAUGUAAGAAUAGAAUGUUCACUUUUGUGUCAUUUAGCGUAGGAGGGUCUCACUCCUAAUUUAGCUAAAGAAUAGGCUUUCAAAACGAGGAAUGAGCAUUGCAAGGGGUCAAUGUGACAUCGAGGGAAGGCCGGUGCAUCUCAAUUGCUUGAGGAAUUGACCGGACGACCUCCAAGAAGUUGGAGUCGUGUUUGGGUGAUGUCAAUGUCCCCCAGGUCACCACCAUGCUUCAUGGUGAUGCUAGAUCUCGAAUGUCUUCGUUUUAAGCGGAAGAAAAUGGAUAUCCAUGAGAAUUUCUCAAAAUUUGGACCAUUAUAUCUCUUCCAGGUUGACCAAUUUGGUCAAACCAAAUCCUAUAUGAGUCAGUGUCCCAAAUAUCAUGUUUGGCGACAACAUGGGAUUCGAUAUUCGAAUCAUAGUGACAUACAGUCCAUUAGAUUGACUCAUGAAUUUCUCCAAGAUGCGCUUCAGUCCGCAUUCAUGAGAAGGUAUACACAAAAGAAUUCUUGUUCAUUCUCACAAUGUGUUUUCAAAUGAAAACUAUUAGCAGAAAUGUCUUUAAAGCUCAAUAUGGUUCGAUUGCCUCUCAAUGCAUAGAGGGUAUCUGUGACAUUGAUCAUGGUGCCAUGAGGCAUCAAGAUUUAAGCUAAACCGCGUCCUUGAAUAACCGGUAUGAUUCAAUCAUUGUAGUCACAGAAGAUUUACAAAGGCACAAAAUCGAAAGAUAGUUGCCGGUUCCUUAGAAUGUUGUGGAUAGUUCCACUAUCUACGAAGCACUCAAUGUCUCGAUGAGACAUAUCUACAAGAAGGAGUAGAUAGGCUA